GGCUUUUGAGGUGAAAACAGCGUCCUCACGCGCCGCAUGCUUCAUGCAAUGGGCAAAAGAGAUGUCGGAUGUGACGCUCCGACCAAAAGCA
ncrna:unclassified sequences skipping-rope RNA